rnacentral:rRNA from 1 species
UACAGAGGUCUCAAGCGUUGUUCGGAUUCAUUGGGCGUAAAGGGUGCGUAGGUGGCGCUGUAAGUCGGGUGUGAAAUUUCGGAGCUUAACUCCGAAACUGCAUUCGAUACUGCGGUGCUUGAGGACUGGAGAGGAGACUGGAAUUCAUGGUGUAGCAGUGAAAUGCGUAGAGAUGUGGAGGAACACCGAUGGCGAAGGCAGCCCCCUGGGUUAACACUGACGCUCAGGCACGAAAGCGUGGGGAGCAAACAGG